CCCGCUGAACUUAAGCAUAUCAAUAAGCGGAGGAAAAGAAACUAACAAGGAUUCCCCUAGUAACUGCGAGUGAAGCGGGAAAAGCUCAAAUUUGAAAUCUGGCGGCUCUGCCGUCCGAGUUGUAUUCUGGAGAAGUGCCUUCCGCGCUGGACCGUGUACAAGUCCCUUGGAAUAGGGCGUCAUAGAGGGUGAGAAUCCCGUCUUUGACAUGGACUACCAGUGCUUUGUGAUGCGCUCUCAAAGAGUCGAGUUGUUUGGGAAUGCAGCUCAAAAUGGGUGGUAAAUUCCAUCUAAAGCUAAAUACAGGCGAGAGACCGAUAGCGAACAAGUACCGUGAGGGAAAGAUGAAAAGCACUUUGGAAAGAGAGUUAAACAGUACGCGAAAUUGCUGAAAGGGAAACACUUGAAGUCAGUCGCAUCUGCUAGGACUCAGCCUUGCUUCUGCUUGGUGCACUUUCUAGUUUGAUGGGCCAGCAUCGAUUUUGACCGUUGGAAAAAGGUUGAGGGAAUGUGGCACCUUCGGGUGUGUUAUAGACCUCUAUCGCAUACAACGGUUUGGAUCGAGGACUGCAGCACGCCUUUAUGGCCGGGGUUCGCCCACGUACGUGCUUAGGAUGCUGGCAUAAUGGCUUUAAGUGACCCGUCUUGAAACACGG
rnacentral:rRNA from 1 species